AUAUGCCCUUUUUAAAUGGCAUUUCCAAUGGCCUUAACAGUGUAAAGCCCCCUCCUCAGAUCACUCUAUACUCCCCCUUGGUUUGCAACUUAUUUUGGUCCAUCCAGUAGUCAUACAGUUGAAACUAAGGAGCAAUUGUCUGUCAGUGCCCAGCCGAGCUUUCAGAGCCUUUGCACUGGGUAUUGUGCGUUUGCCAAGCCCUGGAGCAUCUUUGGGUGGCCACAAAUAACCCAUUGGUGAGUUUUUUGACUCAAAGAGAGUCUUUUAUUGUGGACUGGACCAAAUACACUGGGAAGAACGUGUUUUCAUAGAAAUUGAAUCCACGAAAGCAAAAGGAGAGCAAUGAUUCCAAAUGGACCUAUCCAAAAGUGCACAGGUGUAUCCAAAUUGACAGAGAGCUCUCCAAAGGCUUUUGGAGAAAAAGGAGAAGUUUCCACAGUUAAAAAAGCUGCCGGCGGGACAAUCCUGUUCCAAGUGAAGCCUGCAGUUAUGUCGUCGUAUGUUUCCACAGAAAACAGGGAUAAACAGAGGGGGGUUCUUCUCCUGCGUGUCCAGACCUGAGCCUCCAGCAGCUCAUCUGAAUCCAGGAGUUGUAGUAUUUGAUUGUAUGUGAGUUGCUGAUACAAUAAAA